AUGAGGUGGGGGCGCUCGUCUUUGACAUUGGCUCCUUCUCAGUCCGAGCUGGGUACGCUGGGGAGGACUGCCCCAAGGUGAGCCUUCCAGUCCCCUCCCCAUAUCCCAGGGGCUCGGACACCCUCUGCCAGGUGGGUUGGCCAACGAACAAACGCACACAGGUCGAUCCAAGUAGUUCACCUGAGUGGAGACAGGGGAAGAAUCCCGGGGGAGGUUGGCUGAGGGCCUUGAGUGCAAUUGGACAAGGGACUAGAGGGGGUGAUCCAGCUGGGCAUGGUAGCACAUUCCUUUAAUCCCAUCAUUCCAGAGGCAGAGACAUACAGAGCUCUGUAAGUUCGAGUCCAGUCUGGUCUAUACAAUUCCAGGCCAGCCAGAGCUUCAUAGUGUGUGCCUGUCUGCAAAAAAGGAGGGAAUAAUCUAGCUCCCCACUCGUGUUCCUUGUAACCAGGCUGACUUCCCCACCACUGUGGGGCUGCUGGCCGCAGAAGAGGGGGGCGGGCUGGAGCUGGAGGGGGAGAAAGAGAAGAAAGGGAAGAUUUUCCA
rnacentral:lncRNA from 1 species